rnacentral:rRNA from 1 species
UACGUAGGGGGCGAGCGUUGUCCGGAUUUAUUGGGCGUAAAGAGCUCGUAGGCGGCUCGGUAAGUCGGAUGUGAAACCUCCAGGCUCAACCUGGGGACGCCAUCUGAUACUGCCGUGGCUUGAGUCCGGUAGAGGAGCAGGGAAUUCCUGGUGUAGCGGUGAAAUGCGCAGAUAUCAGGAGGAACACCAGCGGCGAAGGCGCUGCUCUGGGCCGGUACUGACGCUGAGGAGCGAAAGCGUGGGGAGCGAACAGG